GACGAACGCUGGCGGCGUGCCUAAUACAUGCAAGUCGAGCGAACAGACGCGGAUCUUGCUGCUCUGACGUUAGCGGCGGAGGGGUGUGUAACACGUGGAUACCCUCCCUAUAUGACUGAGAUAACUUCGGGAAACCGGCGCUAAUCCCGGAUAAUCUAUUGCACCGCAUGGGUCGAUGGAGAAUGUCGGUGUUUGUGUCUCUACUCGCUGGUUCCCCGCCGCAUUGGCUGGUUGGUAAGGUACCGGCUUACCACGGCAACCAUGCGUUGCCGACCGGAGAGGGGGAUCGGCCACACUGGAACUGAGACACGGUCCAGACUCCUACGGGAGGGAGCAGAAGGGAAUCUUCCGCAAUGGGCGAAAACCUUACAGAGCAACGCCGCGUGAGUGAUGAAGGUCUUCGGAUCGUAAAACUCUGUUAUUAGUGAAGAACAAAUGUGUAAGUAACUAAGCACGGCUUGACGGUACCUAGUCAGAAAGCCACGGCUAACUACGUG
rnacentral:rRNA from 1 species